rnacentral:tRNA from 1 species
GGCGGUGUAGCUCAGAUGGUUAGAGCAUACGGCUCAUACCCGUAGUGUCACAGGUUCGAUUCCUGUCACCGCUACCA